rnacentral:pre_miRNA from 1 species
AUCACCUGGGGAUCUUGUUAAAAUGCAGAUUCUGAUUCAGUAGAUUUGGGGUGGGGCCUAAGAUUCUGCAUUUCUAGUAAGCUCCUAAGUGAUGCUAG